UGUUCCUGAAAUUCCACAGCAGAUAAGAGCUCCUAACCAAGGGCUUUCUUCUUCUGUGUAGAGUUAUCCGUUUCUCCUUUUUCUGCAGAAAAACCUCGUUCUUUUAAAGAUUGUUAUAUAAAUAUGUGCGAGAAAGGAGGGCAGUGGUUUAGAAAGGUUCGCAAACCCACUUCCGCCUGGGAAAGAGCAGGCACUGGGAGGACAACUCGGCCAAGAACCAUCGCCGGCCAGGCGGCGGGGCUCCCUCCCGUGUCCCCCAGGCCAGCCCCACUCUCUCCAGGCCGAGCCCGUCUGCAGAAACACCUGCUCGCGGGCCUGGGGGCUCCACUGCGGGUCUUGCCUUUCCCUGCUGUCCACCUGACUGCGCCAAGGGCCUCGCUUCGCCGUGGUUUCUGCUUGGCGUCAAGCGCACCCUCAACGUUCCGUGUUAGACGGGUGACUUGAAGUCAUUCUCUCGCGCCGAUCGGUUUGCUCGCUUCAGUCCAACGGGAUCAUUUCGGCCGUGCGAUGGGGGAAGGUGCGUGAAUAACGGCUUCUCAUCCGUGCUGAUGAAUCUCAGGUUGUGUCCGUCUAUAGGACGAAGGAGGAAAACAAACAAAAACACCUAGGAGAUCUGAUGAUAAGCAUAUUAGACAGGAGAAGAUCACAAUGUGUGCUGGGGAUGAUGCAGGACAAGGACCCCAAAACCCUCUCCGAGAAACCACGAAGCCCCUGAAACUCGGUGAGGAGGUCCAGAUGGGAGGUCUGAGAAGAACUCUACCUAGGGAAUGGGUUCUGUCUCCAAGGCAACGCCAGCAUCUUCAGCAAGCUCUUGGCUAUUGCACUCGAGUCUACCAGGAAAAGCUGCAGAGUUCAGGAUAUUUUAUUACCACAGUUUUGAAAAGCACAGGAAACAAAGGCUCUAAUAACCUGCUUCCAGUUAAAACUUAAAAUCCAGGCCAAUUAAACCUCCAGAACCAUGAUUCACACAAUGUUGUGAUUUUCACACUUCAAGCACAGAACAGGAGACCAUGAAAGAGAAGCACUUCCCACAACAGAGUUAGCAGUGAGGAAACUUCUCAGUGCUCCGGGGCCUCAACCACGGGUCUCGGCCUCAGAAAAGCCCACCUGUGUCCACUGGACAUUCUCCAGAGAGACACUAAGAAGACAUUGUGGGUUUCCCACCAAGUCAGACAGAACUUAUUUUUUAAAAUGAUAUUGACUCACAGAGUCUGUUUCAGACAAAACCAAGUGAGUUCUCAGAGACACUAAGUUCUGCACCAGUAGGGGAAGCCCCCAGCCCCAAGCUACCACCCCGCCACUCAGGCCAGGAGCACCCUCUCCCUCCCGGGUGUCCACCUCUAGUAGUGCUGUGGUUCAGUCCAAAGCAAGCCAACAGCUGCUGUGUACUUUUGUUUACAUGCUAUAUGUCAAACCUCACUGUCCCCGAGGUACUUAUGCGACAAGAUUUAGCAGUCGUUUUCUUAAAUACCGAUGCCUGCCCAAAUUUGGAUUUGCCCUCCACUGAACAAAAUGACAAGCGCAUGGUGGCUGCGCUCUGAGCGGUACUUCACCGCCACGCCGGGCUUGCAGUGAUCCCAUUACACUGACAGCACGUUGCCUGUGGGGUCUGCAGUGCUGCCCCAGUGCUGCCAGUGACAUGAUCGGUGUGAUAGGAUCAAGCGGAAGAGGGUGCAGGGGAGGGGAGAACCGCUCGGGUCCCGCUGCCUUCACCUGGGUCCCAGUUCAUCUGGGCAUCGUGCCCUCCGCGGGACACCUGGUUCUUAAUUGCUGGUAUGUGCAGGUUGACACUGGGCUCCGACAGUGUGAAACCCUAGAAAGUCCCCUCUCUUCGAAACGGCAGCCUGGGCCACGUCUUUUCUUCGCUGAACGAAGUAGCUGUACAUUAAAUAUGCUGGCACAUCUUCUGCCUGCCGGAGCAAGUGGACCGCGACGGUGUGAAUUGUUAAUGCCUUGCUGCUUUGGCUCAGGGCUGGUGAUUGAUCAUUUGUAACUAUAUCUACUCCUUGUUCCAUGAAAUCAAGUAUGGAGUAAUGGGUUCAUCAGAUUUGGGGGUUAAAUUGAGAGUGAAGAGGUACUGUGUGUGGAAUAAGAGUGGCCAUGUUCGGGGCUGGCCUUCGAACAGCAUGGAAUCUAAAGGCGACAUUCAGAACCACUUCACUCAUCACACGCUGACUGACUCUGAAUAGGGCCCAUGUGCGGGGCGUUUGGUAGUUUUCCAGUGCGCUUUAUGCUUCUUUCCCCUCACACCGCCAUGCACAUCUUUUUUCCUGCACCCCAGUCGCACACUGGAGAACAGGUCAGCAUACACAAUUCAGUUAUUUAAAUGACUCGAUUUAGACACGCAGAAAUGAGCCGGGGCCCUGUUGUCUGAAUCUUGCG